rnacentral:rRNA from 1 species
UACGGAAGGCAGCAGUGGGGAAUAUUGCACAAUGGGCGCAAGCCUGAUGCAGCCAUGCCGCGUGUAUGAAGAAGGCCUUCGGGUUGUAAAGUACUUUCAGUCGUGAGGAAGGUGUUAAGGUUAAUAACCUCAGCAAUUGACGUUAGCGACAGAAGAAGCACCGGCUAACUCCGUGCCAGCAGCCGCGGUAAUACGGAGGGUGCGAGCGUUAAUCGGAAUUACUGGGCGUAAAGGGCACGCAGGCGGUUAAUUAAGUUGGAUGUGAAAUCCCCGGGCUUAACCUGGGAAUGGCAUUCAAGACUGGUUAGCUAGAGUCUUGUAGAGGGGGUAGAAUUCCAUGUGUAGCGGUGAAAUGCGUAGAGAUGUGGAGGAAUACCGGUGGCGAAGGCGGCCCCUGGGACAAAGGACUGACGCUCAUGUGCGAAAGCGUGGGGAGCAAACAGGAUUAGAUACC